rnacentral:lncRNA from 1 species
CACAAACUUUAAUGUGUCAAUGUAAGGCUUUUAUUAGCACUCAAAUCAUCUGAAUCAUUAUGCAGUAAGUAUUUUAACGAGUCAAUAAAACAUCAAUGCUAUAAAAAAGAAAACAAUUGUUACAUGAGUCCUUAAUAAAAUAUUGAAUGCCCCUAUAUUUUUAUUAAUGUCCGUUAGCUCAACUAUUCAAUAAUUAUAUGUAUUUCUCUAUAAAAACAAAUGAUACACACAUGAACACAUUGAUGUUUCAUUUAUUUAAAAAUUUGUCCUCCUUUUUAGUAGUCUCUUAGUUGUUUUACCAUUGUUAAUCAACUGUAACUUCUCAUCUACCCAAGAGAAAAAUAUGGAUAAGAAGACCCAAAACUGGUCAGCCGCUUGUGAUAUACCAGUUGUAACAUUUGGAACCAACUUAAUCUAUAGUUUAAUAGCAGUGUCUUUGCUCACUCUGGUAAACAUAACCUUUUACAAUCAUCCUUGAUUAACCAUAGAGAGGCUUAGAAUUAAGUGGGUAAACAUAUCCAAAGAAAUCUGUCCUCUCCAAACUCCUAGAUUAGACUAUAUUUGUCUCUGGCCACUUAAUUUUUAAGGUAUUUCUUUUUCCAUAAACUACUGAUAAUCAACUCCUGUUGUUAUCCCACGCCAGCAUAUCUAGGUGGCAAUCUCUCCCUUACUGGAAUAGAUUCCAAGAAUAAAUGUCUAACACUUAUUUAGCAAGUACUGUAUGCCAAGAACUGUACUGUGCUAUCACCUCAUUUGAUUCUCACACAACCUAACUGACCCAUCAUCUCUUUACUUCUCUGGCCUCAUCUCGAACAUUUCACCUUGUUUAUUUCUAAUCCAAUGCAUCGGAGUUCUUGUGACUUCUAGAAUGCCCAGCCUGCUUGUGGCCUUGGCAUUUCCAUUCUUUCUACUGGAAGUUCUUAAUCAGAUUUUAGUCCAUAUAUCACUGUAUAAAAUAAUGUCCCCUACAACUGUACAUACCUCCCCAAGCUGUUACCUUAUUUUAUGUUUCAGCCUAAUACUAACUUACAGAUAAUAUAUCAUAAAUGCAAUCCCAUUUGUUUCUUCCCUGUCUCAUUAUUUCACUCACUUGAAUGGAAGCACCAAGAAAGAUGGGAUAUGGUUUACAAAUCUCUUCUAAAUCUUAGAUCAAGAAAAGAAACUUGAGACAUACUAAGCAUUCCUAAAUUGAAUGAGUAAAGUAACCUUCUCUGAGGUGAUCAUAGUUGUGGUAACCACUGUACAGAUGAGGAAAUUGCACUAUUGGGGAGAGGUUAACUUUUUUCCCAAGUUCAUGUAGCAAAUAAGUAGCAGAACUAAGAAUUUGAGCUCUGGUCUAAUGCCAGAGUUCCUAUUUCUAAUUACUCCUUAUUCUUGGCUAUUCUAUUGCCCUAAGGCAAUAAACAGUUCAAUAUCAUAUAUAUGAUAAAUGUGUGCAAGAAAGAUAAUCUCAUUCCCAAGUUAUUAUCCUAUUUUCUUUAGGAUUGUAAUUUGUUAAAUUAUCUUUAAUAUAUCUUAUCAUAGUUCUUAGAAUAUUAAUUUACUUUAAAAUAUUCUGACUUGUAUGAUGUUUAAUUAUACUCAGGUUUAAACUAUAACCACGGUUCUGAUGAUGGUCUAAUCAAGGAGGUAUAAUUAGUAUGGACUGCUGGCAUUUUAAGCAAAUGUUCACAUUCUAGAAGCAGCAGCUAUAAGAAGCUCUGUAACUGGCAUCUGUAUCAACCUCUGUUUACUGAGUCAAAAUACAUCAAUAAAAUACAUCAAUAAAAUAGUAGCCUUUAUCUGUGAUGGCGAUUAUUAGUUACAGAUAUUAUUGGGAACAAGUAUCCAAAGAUGUGGAAUGGCCGUUAUAUUUUAAAGAUUCUGGACCCAGGUCACCCCUAGGGAUGAUCCUCUAGACUAAAUUCCUGAUACUUCCUUGACCACUAUGGACUUGAAGGUUUUGGCUGCCUGAUGCUGGCUACAAUGUUUACAUAAUCCAGCAUCUUGUCUCUUAUCUUGGUUAAACUUUCUAGGAAAGAUAGAGGUGGAAAGAGUCAUGAAAAUGAUGCAAGUCUGUAUAGUAAGUAUUAUAAGUUUUUAUUUGGAUGCUAAUAAAUGUUAGCAACUACAUAUGUUGUAACAGAAUUUGUUCUGAGACUACCUUUUGUUAAAAAUUCAUGGAGAAGCUAUGAGCCUAGUAGCAAACACAUAAAAUAUGAAAUGUUCCAGUGGCUACAAUUAUCUACCCUCCCAAAAUUCAGAGUUCCACAUAACAUAAACAGUUUACAUUGGUUCAAAAUGGCAUCCAUCCUCAGUGCAACAUAUAUUUCAGGUGAUGCUCCAAAUCCUAAAUAAUUUACACUUAUUUCUGAGGUCUCAGAAAUUAAAAGGAUCAGGAAACUUAGCUUAAAUUAUGUCAUUAUCUCUACUCAUUGUUUUUUCUGCUUAUCUUUGCUGAAUUUUCAGACUUUUAAAAUUAUUUCAGAACAGAACAUCUGUACAUAGGAUUAAUAAUAAUAAUCUGAUAAUCUAAUCCUUAAUCAGUAUCUUCAUUAGAAUAAUAUGCAAUUACUGAAUUUUCUGGAUUCUUGAGAAUUAAUCUGUUGAUACCCACAAGUUUUGCACUACAUACUUGUAAAAAAAAAUUAAUUGUAACUAAAACUUCAAGUUUUAACAAAUUUAGAUAACUAUAUUUAUAUUUAGAGUACUGUAUUUACUUAUCUAUUCAUUUACUUAAGUAUAGUUUGUAUACAAUAUUAUGUUACAGGUGCACAAUAUAGUGAUUCACAAUUUUUAAAAGUUAUAUUUACUUUAAAUUACUACUCAAAACUAAAACUUGCCCAUUUAUGCACAUUAAACUAUUUAUAAGUUAUCUUCUAAAGAUAAUCGGAAAUGACAAGACUUUUGAAAUUACACAAGUAAUGAGAUGGUAUAGUUUUGCUGAAUUAUCAGCUAUACACCCUCAUCAAUCUUGUUUUUAACUCUUUAACCAAAGAAAGUUAUGAAAUAACCACAAUAAAGAUAAAAUCUUAGAUGGGUUCUUAAUAUGUGACUAUCUUAUGAAUGCUACUUUUUCUGGUAAAAAAUGGGCUAUUAUUUCCUCAAUAGCAAAGACUAUGAAGAAUUUGGGAAACUGAAUACAUUUGAUACUAGAAUAAUUUAAUUUGGAGCUUAUUCUUUUUCCAAAUUAUAAAUUAAUCUUUUUCUUACCUAUUGAAAUUUAUUGCAAAAUUCUUAUAUGGCUGUACUUGUACAUCUGACUACUCAAAGUUUCUAGAUUUCUUUCUUUUUGUUAACAAAUUUCAAAAUUUAUUGACAUACCACUUGGAUAAUGUACCCAAAAUUGUUUCAUUAAUUGUAAAAUAUAAGCACAUAUUUAUAUACUAAAGAAGAAAAUUAUAAACCCCUUUCAUUUUAUCAGUUCCCAAAGAAACUGAGUGUCAGACAAGAGAGUAAGAAUGCAAAAAAUGAGUACAACCACCUUUCUUUUCUAAAGUGCUAAAAAUAAACAGUGUAUUAUGAUAUCAUAGUAUGAUCCCUAUCCUAUAGUUAAGCCCAAGAUAAAACAGAAACUUAUAAGAAAACUCUUGUAGUCUAUAAUUUGACUAGAAAAAAAAUUAAAGGUAUAAACAAACUAGAAAAACUUUUUAAAUCUAGAUGUAGACAAACCCAAAUUUACUUGCAACUUUUGAAUUUCUAGGUGAAGUUAUCUUCUUGACUCUUCCACAUAACUUUUUAAAGCAAAAAGGAUAAUGGGAGUUGCAAUACAUUCAAAAAGUUUAUUUUAUUUCUGUAUUUUUCAACUUAACUAUUCAUCAAAGGAUUUUACUUAGUACAUCCAGAUAUAUUACCCAAGGAAAUCAAUUUCUCAAAUGUGUUUGCUUAGGCUCUUUAGGGUAUGCCAGUUAAUAAAAGUUGUGAUUGCCAGAGCUCAGUGUUUUAUUAUAUAAAAGCCUCUUAUCCAUUCCUUUGGGUCAGCUUUAUAAUGAUGAACUGAGCUUUUUCUUAGAAGCUCGAUUGUCAAGUGGAGUUGGGUUAAUUUAGAUUAUAUGAAAAGAAGCAGGUACUAGUAAAUGGAAUAUAAAAUGCUUAAUGGAUUCCAGAAAUGAAGUCAGGCUAUAGAAGGAAAAGAAGUGAGAUUGAGAAGAAUAAGAAUUAAAGUAGACUGCUAGGUGAUUUAUUCAGCCUUGGGGGGCAAAGUGCCCCACAUUCAGGUAAAUUACUUCAAUGCAUAGCACAAAAUGUACCUUUUGAUAUAUGCUUCUUCUUAAUACUUUCUCAGCUUAAAGAUUGUUUUAAAGAAUGAUUUUAAGAGGACCCAAAGCAAACCAAAACAGGAUACUUUUUACAUUAUUAUUAUAAUAUCUAAGGCGAAGAUAAAGAUCCUAAGAAAAAAAUAUCGUCAUCAAAGAAACAUUAACUAUGUAUUUCAAGAUAUGCUGCAAUCAAGUUGUUAGGUUUUCUUCCUUUUUUUAAUUUUCUAAAAAAUAAUGAGUUCAAAGGCAACACUACAAAUUAGCAUACCGUUGAUAGAAUUAGACUGUAGUUAAAUUGAGCCUAAUCUUAGAAGAUAUGCCUGUUUAAAUAUUAGAGUCAAGUGAUGGUGUAAACCAACAUUUAACUCAUCAGUGACAGCAGUUUAAAUUCUGCAAAUAUCUCCAAAAGUGUCCUGGCAGCUGACAGUAAAACAGGAGGAGAUAAUGAAAUAUCUGGACACAAAACUUGCACCUGAGAAUAAUUCUACUCAGUUGAAGUUAAUGGUCUCUGCAGUCUGCAUCCACAUGUUCCUUUACUGCUCUUAGAAGCACAGCUGCAGUGGGAAUAUAAAUAUGAGGAGCCAUAAAGUGAACAAUAACUUCUCUGCUUAGAAAACAAAUGCGAGAGCAGUAAAGAUUAGUCUGUCAAAAUAUUCACAAGUUUGAAACUACCUUAGGGAGCAUGUGAGCCUAAGUCCUUUUAGAGAGAAAUUCGGCAAGAUUAAAUGACUUAACCAAAGUCACCCAUUUAGUUUGUGGCUGCAUAUGAAUAAGAAGAGUAUCUUCAUUUUUUCCCCUUUAUCAUGAUACUGAUAGAUGUGGUGACCAUACAUAUCGUAUGUAUUAGUAACUUUAGUAUGUAGCCAUGAUGUAGGAACCAAAAGGGAGGAAAAGAAGCAUUAUUUAUUUUUGUCUUUUUUUUUCUGCAACACAGACAUUUAAAAACUGAAAUAAUGCUGAAUAUUUGUAUGUAUUAGUUUUUUUACAGAUUCCAAGUGAUCUUUCUAGCACAUUCCUUCAUCUAAAUCCUUAUGUUCCUUUUCACAGACACAUUCUAAACAUGUAUGCAGGUACUGGGAACAUUAAUUAACAUAAAAGAUAAUUAAAUUUACACACAGAAAGAAAUGAAAGUCAAAUUGCAAAAAUAUAUUUUUAAAAUGGAAAAACAAAGGUCAGUGGAAUUGAUGGAAUUACUCAAAGAUAUAGAAAGAGGACCAAGGAUGAGCAUCAACUUUAAUGUAAAUGAAGCAAAAUGAGAAAAAAACUGAGACGAUUAAGUUGUGCAUAUGGAUGGAAAGGCAAGCAAUUACAGGAAUGCAAGGGAGUGGAAGCUGAGAAAGGGUGGUGUUUCAAGGAAGAGAGAGUAGUCAGUAUUUUCCGAUGAAACACAAAAUUGUAGUGAGAAUCAUAAAGUCUUUGAUGCAAUUAAUAGCAAAAUAAUUGUGCUACAUUAUUUUUUCUAGUUGGUUAUUGGAGAAAUUAAGAUGAUUGUAACUUGAUUUGGUAUCUCAAGGUGUCCACUGGGUGAAGGAAUUGGGUAAUAAUAGAAUAAAAUUAUUUUCAAAGGAUUCACUUAUAAAAUGAAGGGGAAAUAAGUGGUAUAACUCAAGGAAAGCAUGAAUAUGAAGAGGUGCAAGUUCCAGAGAGAUUUUUCCUGAGUUUGUUCCAAGAUAGGUAAAUUUGAAUGCAUUUAAUGUUGCCCUAAAGGUGGCCAUAGAUAGAAGAAAUCAAGAGAUAUUAUAGGGUAAAGGUAAUUGAUAAAUCAUUGCUUCUUUGUGAGAUAGCGAAUAUUUUGGAGAAUAGCAUACCAAUCAUAUGACAGUAAUUAGUCUUGACAUACAAUAACUCACUCUCAUCCUUGAGUAGGUAUUGAUAAGAAAAAUAUUUUUGAAAACUAAAAAGUAUGUAGUGGUCUGGAGGUGGACAUGUCAGGCAAUUAAGACCUUGUAGCAAUUCCUAAAAAAAAACCCGAAAAAACAAAAACUGAUUUGCUCUAUACAGGAUCACAUCACAAGGACUGGCUUAAUUUCAGGCAAAAUCUCUCUCACUUCUAGCCUUUUGAGAUCAGUUCUUUUGUUCUGAAGACUCUUCUUUCUGUAUUAACCUAGCUACAUUUUACUUAUCCUUACAAAUCCCAACUUUAGCAUCAUUUUACCUAAGAAAACUUUCCAUCGCCAAAUGGAUCAUGUAGAAUCCUCUUGUUUUGUGCACCCUAUACUCUCCUUUGUUCAAACUCUCUAUUCUUUAAAUGUGUUAAGUAUAUUCAAAUUCAAGGAGUUACCUGAUGGCUCAGUGGGUUAAGGAUCUGGCAUUGUUGCUACCGUGGCUUGGGUCAGUGCUCUGGCACAGGUUCCAUCCCUGGCCU